rnacentral:lncRNA from 1 species
UACGACAGAUUCCGGUUGGUCGAGCUGCUCCGCUGCCGGCCGGCGCCCCUCGCCGCCUCCCUCCAGUCCGGUGGCCACAGCGCCCUCUCGCCGUUCAAGCUAUCGGGCGCACAUCCAGAGCACGCAAAAGAGAGAGAGAGCCCGCGCAUGCGCGAUAUCAUUUCUCGCGUUCGUCUCCCGCCCCGCGCGACACGGCGAUUUCGCGAGCCCUAGCGAAUCUCCGGGCCCUCGGUGGAAUCGAAAAUCAGGCGCGGGAUGCUGGAUCGCCGGCGGUCCGGCGGAGGGUGAAUGAUCUGGUGGUAUGCCCUCUGGAGGUAUUUUGUCUGUUUCUUGCUUACAGGUUUUCGGUGGAUGUAGCAGUCGCUUGUAUUCUGUCAGUAUAGGACUAUAGGGUGGCAAGGCGCAAUUGGUAAUUGAUGUGCCGUUCGUUGAUUACUUGUUACUGCUGUCUAUGGUGAUCUGGAUCUGUAGAUUGAGCUCUGUAUGAAAUGUAGGGUGAUCUGACCCCGUUAUUAACAGUUACUGUAUUCAUUUAAUUGUUGUCUAGCAUGAACUUGGCUGGCAUGAUAUAUGCAUCUCUGAAGAUGUUUCCGCAAUAGGGUUGCUAACAUAUUUGCAUGAAGUAGUGUUGCAAAAAAGAAAAGAAAAGAAAUACUUACAUGAAGUUGUUUCAUCUGUGGACCAAAUAUGUGUAACAUCCUGUAAAGUUUUAGCUGUCUGGUCAACUAAUGACCAGUUUUAUGUUUACGCUAGGUCCAACCCUGAUUGAAAUAAAAUUACAUUACCCUGAACACUUCCCACUUGAAUUGCUCACAACCACGACUUCCAAUCUGAAAAUCAUUGAAUUACUACUACCUAUCAUUCAGGAAGCGAACAACAUAAACUGUUGCAGGCUCAACUAAUAUAAAAUAAGAUCCAACUCGGGUGGAUUCAAACACGCAAAAAAACUAAAAUUCAUGGCUAUUUAUUGCUUGAUUGACCUCUAUCCAUUGAAUAUUAGAACAAAUUACAAUUGAAAUGGGCUGAGCCGAAAUACCUAUAUAACACUAGCUGGUCAUAUAGCACGCCUACUCCAAAGAACAAACCAAAGCCAAUAAAAAAUAUGACCUUGACGCUGGGCUGUUUUGCAGAGAUAAUGUAGAUAGGAUCUGCUCUGACUGAACUACACUGAUGAAUAAGCGUAGUGCCACACAGCUUUGGGUUCCCAUCAAAACUGGAAUCUGGAAAAGUGCUCAACUGGCCUCCUGCUGGUACAGACCCUUCUAAAUCAUUGUUCGAAAUGUUGAAUGCAGAAAGGAAGUGAAGUCUCUCCAGUGCUGCAGGGAUUACACCCGUCAGAUGGUUAUUAGACAAGUCUAGCACCUCCAGCUUCGUGAGAUUGCAGAUCGACAGCGGAACCAGUCCAUAUAAUUUGUUUGAGCUGAAGUCGAGUUCAGAAAGCACUUUCAGUUGGCCAAUCUCCGAUGGAAUCACGCCUGUGAAAUUGUUGAUGCUCAGAUUCAAGAGUGUAGGGAAAGCUGUAAGAAAAUGGUAUUGGCGUGAUAUAUUCCUCCAAAAAAGAGGCAGCUCAACGUGGCCAGGAUCCAAAUAAGCUGCUGUAUUAUCUUUAAGCAUUGGGAUCUCCAUCAAGGCGAUUGGGAUUUGCCCAGUAAAACUGUUGUUUGAUACAUCUAGAUAGAAGAGGCUAUUUAAGGAGUUGAUCCAGCCUGGCAUUGGUCCGGUGAGUCGAUUGUUGGAUAACUUUAGUACCUUCAAGUUUCUAAGCUUUGAUAACCAAACUGGCAAGUGUCCGGUUAACGCGCUGUCGGCCAUGUGGAUGUAUUGAAGAUUUCGAAAACCAUCCAGGGUCUCAUCUUGUGGCAUCAUCUCAUUCACAAAGUUCUCGGCAAUAAUCAGAGUGGUGAUGUUCCUGAAGCCAUUGAAGACAUGAAAAGCUUUUGUGAUAUUUGUAAAAGGGUUUCUAGCAAGUGAUAGGAAGGAUAGGUGCAGAUUCCCUAUUCUUGGUGAGAUCUCACCAUGGAAAUGGUUCAACGACACCCGCAGUGCAAUCAAAUUUCUGCAUGAGUAUAUGCUUUCUGGCACUAUGCCGCUGAAGUUAUUUCUCAAAACAUCUAAAUGUGUCAGGUUCUGUAGAGUGGAGAAGUUGACCCUGCCUAGUUCUCCACUGAAGUUGUUGAUCUUCAGAUCGAUGAUCAUGAGACGUGUGCAGUUACUCAGAGUUGAUGGCACCUCCCCAGACAUGUUAUUGUUACCCAAAUAGAGCUCCUGUAGCCUCUUCAACUGACCUAUGGAGCGUGGGAUCUUCCCACUGAAUUUGUUCUCCCUGAGGUCGAGAGUAACCAGAUUACUGAGUUUUACUAUGCUUGCUCCAUCAAGUUCUCCUUGUAAUCCAUUGUUGGGGAAGGAGAGAUGCUCCAGGGAAGUGGCAUGGAAGAGCUCAGCAGGGAGAGUCCCACUUAGGUUGUUGUGCCCAACCUUGAACACUUUGAGCUUGGAGCAAGCGCCAAGUGCAGCAGGAAUACUGCCGCUCAAUUGGUUGUAACAAAGAUCAAGCAUGGCCAAUGAUGGCGAGAGGCAAAGAGAAAGUGGUAUGUGCCCGGUGAAGCUGUUGUUGCUGACGUUAAGCACGACCAAAUUCUGCAUGACCUUCCAUGUGUGUGAUGGAAAUUCUGCACCGAAUUGGUUGCUCGAGAUGUUCAGUACCUGCAGAGGCCGGGCGUAGGUAACCGAAGAUGGCGGCUCGUGCAACACCCCACUAAGCCUGCUGAAGCUGACGUCGAGGACGAUGAUGCUUCUGGAAUACAUGAGCUCCGGUGGAAGGCCACCGGAGAACGAGUUGUGUGAAAGGUUGACACGCAGCAGGCCGGUGAGACCGGCAAGGUGCGGCGAGAUGCGACCUUCAAUCCCUCUAGAUGCCAGGGAGACUGCGGUGACGCCCCCCUCCCUGUCGCAGGUUAUGCCUUCCCAUUCGCAGCAGUCCGUGCCGUUUCUCCACGACACGGUGAGGCCGCCAUCUUGGGAUAACCCGGUGAGGAAUUGGAGGAGGGAGUGCUCCUCUUGCUCGGUGCAUGAGCGGGCAGGAGAGGCCAAGGAGAGCAGCAGCAGAAACAGCUGUAGCGUGACUAGGGCUGCAGAAUGCAUGGCUGGUAAGCUUAAAACUUGCUCAUCUUAACCUGUUUGUGCAAUGGUUAUCUGGUAGCCGAUAGGUGGUGGUUUCCAGUGUUGCAGUGGUAUCGUUAUAACUAGAAGAUAGUGCUACUGUAGUUGCAUCAGAGUACAUCUUCUGUCACUGAGGUACGAUGGUGCCAUCAAGAGGCUGGGUACCAACCUACUAGUCCCUGACUCUUGGUUGGCUCUUGAGGUCCACUAACACCUUUUAGUCCUACAUUUGCACAUGGUCAAUCUGGUUCUUUCUGAGCAUGCCCAUUAAGGGCUCAAGAUGGCAAUGGGUAAUUACCCAACCGGGUAAAGCACUAAAGCCUCUCUUCUUUUCAUGCCCGUGAAAGCACAGGCUUGCCCAUUACCCCAUACGCACCGCGGGGAAGAAUUUCACUCAUACUCGUCGCCGACAGAUAAUUCUUGCCCACAGGUAUACCCGCCCUUUCUGAUGCCAACCUCCAGGAGCAAUUCACACAUAUCAAACCAGCAACUUAUUAUCCAAAAUCAUAACAUCCUGCAGUUCAAUAGCAUAGUUGCAUAGCACAAUUGCAUACCAUCACAUCAUAACACUUAUGACAAUCAAUUUGAUAGAAUAAUUGCACAGCACAAGUGUAUACCAUCAGAUCGUAACACUAUUAUCCAUUAAUUCAAUAGAAUAAUUGCACAACAAGUGCAUGCCAUCACAUCAUAACACUAAACAUCCAUCAAUUUAAUACUAGCAUAAUUUAAGCAUCGCAUCAUUAUCAUAACAAGUAGCAAGGUUCAAACGAUCAAGUAUCAAAACUCUCACAUCUCACAUCUCACAACUCUCAAGAGUAAUUCUAGAUGGCAUAGUUCAUUGCAAGACAAGUGACAAUGAUAAAGCUCAAAACUGAGCAACAAAAGACGGGGUUCACAUGUCAAGCCUCCACUACUGGGUACCCGUGGGUAACAGGUAUGGAUAAUUACUAAUGGACAAAGGUACAUGUACCUGUGUUACCCAGUGGGGAAGGAAUUUUGCCAUUUACUUACCCGUGGCUCAAACUCGUUCCUUAAUUGAGCAAUUACCCGCCGGGGAUCGGGUAACAGGUACCCGUUGCCAUCUUGUUAGGCUUUAUUGGUUCAUGGGGUCCACUAACACAUUUUAGGCAUACAUUUAGGGCUUGCUCACCUCUUACUUCGAUAAAUAAUCUUAGAAGUAAAGCUCCAAAUCAUAUGUUUUGUGUUUGUUUUCUAUGUUUGUUUAUGUUGGUUCUCAUACGUCCGCAACUUCAUACUACAUGGGUAAGCUUGUUACACAACCCAUACCACGGAUAAACCUCAUUGACCAUCAUAUUUUCAUUCCAGGUGAUGCCUUCCCAGGGAGCCAAAGCUGGUGGUGGGAGAGGCACCAUGCAUAGACAAGGACUAUUUGGAGAUGAAAAUCGAAAGAGGGGUUCAAUCUAAUUUAUCCAGAGCUACAGCCCUCCUCUAUAAUGAGCCUCCAAUAUAAGCUAAUCUAGGCCUCGCCUUGAAAGAUGGAGUUAAGUUAGGUUCAGAGGGCCUGCCUGCAAUAUAUAACUGUACUGAAUUGGUACCCAGAUGCUCAGCUCAUAAUCUUUUGCCAUCAGAUGAAAAUAUGUAAUGUGGUCGAAGAAGAUAGCUACGGUUGCAAAGGGUGGGAUGAUUAAGUUCGUUGCUGCCAUUUAUGUAGUUCUUUCUUCAAGAUACGGGAGCUCUAAUCUAUGUAAAUCACUUUGGUUCUUGAACUGGUGCAUCUACUUGCUCAGGGAAGCUAUAGAAGAGUGUCUAGAAUACUCCCUCCGUAAACUAAAUAAGAGUGUCUAGAAUACUAAAAUAGUGAUCUAAACGCUUUUAUAUUAGUUUACAGAGGGAAUAAUGAGUGUCUAGAAUACUCCCUUCGUAAACUAAUAUAAAAGUGUCUAGAAUACUAAAAUAGUGAUCUAAACGCUUUUAUAUUAG